rnacentral:lncRNA from 1 species
AAAGUUCAAUUUUUUCUAAAAAUAGCUAAAGUCAAAAUGCAUAGGAGUCCAUUUCAAUGCCUUUGUUUGUUCUUGUUUGAUGCUAAGGAUAAAUACCAGCUGGUUGAGUUUUCCCUGCUGCAAAACCAAGUUUUCCCUUCAAAAACAAAGAUACGAUUUUUGAGUUUCAAAGCUUUUCAGUUAAAACCAACCACCCAGAAUCCUUACCUAAGCAUCAUUGAAAGUUUUCCAAACUUUAAC